UUCAAGUCUCCCCCACUCUUAAUCAAUUUUCUCCUCGUAAUCCAACAAAUCUUCAACCAAACAGGGCCCCACCCAAUUUACUUACCCAGUUUACUCGCUCUUUUCUUUCCGUUCCUGUAUUUUACCCUUUUGUUUUUCCAGUUCUAUUUCUUGCUCCUCUCUCUCAUGCAGGCUGCAGCUUUGCCGAGGAAAAAAAAAAGAGCAGAGCUUGAAUGUUUGAUGCUUAAAGGUUGAAUAUUUUAUUAUUUUCAUUAGAGUUUUUACGUUGCUCAAAUGUCCAUCAAGAUCUGUGCUUUCUUUGUUUCACCAGCUUAAACCCACUUCAACAAAGAGGUCAGAUGGACACAACCUCUGUGAGAUGUCUUAUCAACAGUAUUUCUCGAUUUAUUCAUCUGGUAUCAUGCCAGACAAUAAAAGCUUUUCCUAUUGAAAAGGAUUAUAGGAAUAUGAUUGUUGUUUUAAAACUUUUAAAACCGCUGCUUGAUGAUGUUAAUGAUUGCGAGAUACCUUCAGAUGAAAUUCUAUAUAAAGAGUGUGAAGAGUUAGACAUGCUUGUUAAUGAGGCUCGAGAAUUCAUGGAGAGCUGGUGUCCUAAGAUGAGCAAAAUCCACAGUGUUCUUCAGAGUGAACCUUUUCUGAUAAAAAUGCAAAGCUCUUCACUUCAGAUAUGUCACAUAUUAUAUAGAUCAUUGCAGUCAUCACCAUCCAACUCAAAUAUAACCAGUGUGCAGCACUGUAUGCGGGAAAUUGAAUGUCUGAAGCAGGAGAGACUAUCAGAAAAUAUGGGAGAAGCUUUGAGAAGUCAAAGAGAUGAUGCUAGUCCCGGCACUGAUGUUCUGAUCAAAGUUAUCAAAUCACUAAACUUGACAUCAAACCAGGAAUUGUUAAAAGAAACUGUGGCUGUGGAAAAAGAGAGAAUGAACGCGCAAGUCAAUAAUGCGAAAGGGAAAUUAGAUCAAAUCAAUCAGGUUGUGGAUCUCAUCUCCCAUAUACAUGAUUAUAUGCUUAAAAUUGAGCGCUUUGAAUCCUCAAGUGGCAUUCUGAUACCACCAUACUUCCUUUGUCCCCUAUCGUUGGAACUUAUGCUGGAUCCUGUUAUUGUGGCUUCUGGGCAAACUUAUGACAGGACUUCCAUCCAAAAGUGGCUUGAUAGUGGACUGACCAAUUGCCCAAUGACCCGUCAGACACUCACACAUGCAAAUCUCAUUCCAAAUUACAUGGUCAAAGCUAUGGUAGCAAGGUGGUGUGAGGAAAAUAAAUUACAACUUUCCAAUAACACUGGGCAUACAAAACUUGUCUCAAUCUUUUCUCCUUCAAAUCAUGUAUCUUCUCAAGAUUUAACCCAUACUGAUAGUUUCCAUUGCUUUGCAAACAGUAGUAGUUCCACAUCAAGAUCAUCUGUUGAAGUUGGAAAUGGUUUAGAGAAGCAGAAGAUUGACAUCCCAUCUAGAUUUAACGGAGAAUGCAAUGCAUGCCAAAGCAGGGAGAUUGACAAGUAUGACCACCAAUCCCCUGAUCAGUCAUAUGCUCACAGCAGGACUGAAUCAGCCUCGAGUGAAAUUUCCAGUAUUGAUUAUGCCCCUCCUGCUUCAAAUGACUUUUUAAGGAGGUGGAAGAAACAUGAAACGAAUGAGUUAGUUGAAAUUUCACCUGGGGGCUUUGGAACUUUUCCUUCAACAAAUGAAUCUGGAUUUUCUCCCUGGAUAACGGGAAAACAGUUGCAGCUCUCUGAAACAAAAAUUGAAGAGGCAGUCAAUGGAAACCAUGAUUAUAACAGAGCAUACUCCAUUUCAUUUUCUGGGUCAGGGUAUGAUGAUUUGACCACAAGUUCCCAUGUGAAGAGAUUAGUAGACAACCUUCAAAGCCUAUCAAAUGAAGUCCAAACUACAGCUGCUGCAGAAUUGCGCCUUCUUGCAAAAAACAAUAUGGACAAUCGUAUAAUUAUAGGUAGCUGUGGUGCUAUUGCACCAUUAUUUUCUCUGUUAUACUCAGAAGUAAAGCUAACCCAAGAGCAUGCUGUUACAGCCCUUUUAAAUCUCUCAAUUAAUGAAGAUAAUAAGGCUAUGAUUGCAAAAUCUGGAGCAAUAGAGCCACUGAUUCAUGUUUUAAAGUCUGGAAAUGAUGGAGCCAAAGAAAAUUCUGCGGCAGCUUUGUUCAGUCUUUCUGUCUUGGAAGAUUUCAAGGCAAAGAUUGGACGUUCUGGUGCUGUCAAAGCCUUGGUGAAUCUUCUGGGCUCUGGAACAUUGAGAGGAAAAAAAGAUGCUGCUACUGCUUUAUUUAACUUAUCAAUCUUUCAUGAAAAUAAGGCGCGUAUAGUUCAAGCAGGUGCGGUAAAAUACCUUAUUGACUUAAUGGAUCCUGAUAGUGGGAUGGUUGACAAGGCAGUUGCUCUUCUCUCGAACCUUUCAACAAUUGGGGAAGGGCGCUUGGCAAUUGUACGAGAAGGCGGUAUCCCAGUACUAGUUGAAGUUGUUGAAUCAGGAUCACGGAGGGGUAAGGAAAAUGCUGCCUCUGUAUUGCUGCAACUAUGCCUUAAUAGUCCUAAGUUCUGUACCCUGGUUUUGCAAGAAGGGGUUGUGCCACCCCUUGUCGCAUUGUCUCAGUCUGGCACACCAAGAGCAAAGGAAAAGGCACAACAGCUUCUCAGUCACUUCCGGAAUCAGAGAGAAGGUGCCACGGGGAAGGGCAAGACAUGAAAGCAGACAAAUUUUGUUACAAUUUUCUUUUCUGAUUUUUUUAUCCUACUCCAUAUAUAUUGUACAUAUGCCAUCAAAUUGUUGCUCAAAUUAAACGAUAAUACAAAGCUCCAUGCUUGUUUCUGCACUUCUGAAAUGAUAACCCGUUGUUUUCCGUUGUGUUUGACACCUGAAACUUGCAGAGCAUAGUCCUACUCCAACAGGUAUCACUGUUCAGAAAAAGACAGUACCCAAGGCAGGCCCUUGCCCACUCAUGUUAUGCAUGGGCCCAAAUUACACAACAGCUUGUAUUUUGAUUAACAAUACUUGAGUCCUUGUAGUUGCUGUUCCCUGUGUUAUAGAUGUCCUUUCACCCUCUGCUUCUCACUGAUCUCUGGGUGUGAUCAUUUCUUAUUCAUGAAUCUCUUACUUUGAUCCCCCCAUUGACCUUUCGAUGAGUCUUCUUUCGUGUCAAACGUUAGAAACUUGAGAUCCGGACCUCACAGAUUCAUACUUGGAUGAAAAAAUAUCCACAGGAUGCAAGAUGUAAAUUCAUACACUCUGAAUUCAAAACCCUACUUUAGACGUAAAAUCAUUAGCAUUCAGGCCGGCUCUAGCUAAACUAUUCCUACCCCCAAACAGGAAUCAUCAAAGCAUGAGUGAGCUGUUGAUAAAAACAUUAAA